rnacentral:rRNA from 1 species
UACGUAGGGGGCAAGCGUUGUCCGGAUUUAUUGGGCGUAAAGAGCGUGUAGGCGGCCAAGCAGGUCAGCUGUGAAAACUCGAGGCUCAACCUCGAGACGUCGGUUGAAACCGCUUGGCUAGAGUCCGGAAGAGGAGAGUGGAAUUCCCGGUGUAGCGGUGAAAUGCGUUGAUAUCGGGAGGAACUCCGGCGGCGAAAGCGGUGCACUGGUGGAUUACUGACGCUGAGGUGCGAAAGCCAGGGGAGCAAACGGG